UGGGGAAUAUUGCACAAUGGGGGAAACCCUGAUGCAGCGACGCCGCGUGGAGGAAGAAGGUCUUCGGAUUGUAAACUCCUGUUGUUGGGGAAGAUAAUGACGGUACCCAACAAGGAAGUGACGGCUAACUACGUGCCAGCAGCCGCGGUAAAACGUAGGUCACAAGCGUUGUCCGGAAUUACUGGGUGUAAAGGGAGCGCAGGCGGGAAGACAAGUUGGAAGUGAAAUCUAUGGGCUCAACCCAUAAACUGCUUUCAAAACUGUUUUUCUUGAGUAGUGCAGAGGUAGGCGGAAUUCCCGGUGUAGCGGUGGAAUGCGUAGAUAUCGGGAGGAACACCAGUGGCGAAGGCGGCCUACUGGGCACCAACUGACGCUGAGGCUCGAAAGUGUGGGUAGCAAACAGGAUUAGAUACCCUGGUAGUCCACACCGUAAACGAUGAUUACUAGGUGUUGGAGGGUUGACCCCUUCAGUGCCGCAGUUAACACAAUAAGUAAUCCACCUGGGGAGUACGACCGCAAGGUUGAAACUCAAAGGAAUUGACGGGGGCCCGCACAAGCAGUGGAGUAUGUGGUUUAAUUCGACGCAACGCGAAGAACCUUACCAAGUCUUGACAUCCCUUGACAGGCAUAGAAAUAUGUUUUCUCUUCGGAGCAAGGAGACAGGUGGUGCAUGGUUGUCGUCAGCUCGUGUCGUGAGAUGUUGGGUUAAGUCCCGCAACGAGCGCAACCCUUAUGGUCAGUUACUACGCAAGAGGACUCUGGCCAGACUGCUGUUGACAAAACGGAGGAAGGUGGGGAUGACGUCAAAUCAUCAUGCCCUUUAUGACUUGGGCUACACACGUACUACAAUGGCGUUAAACAAAGAGAAGCAAGACCGCGAGGUGGAGCAAAACUCAGAAACAACGUCCCAGUUCGGACUGCAGGCUGCAACUCGCCUGCACGAAGUCGGAAUUGCUAGUAAUCGUGGAUCAGCAUGCCACGGUGAAUACGUUCCC
rnacentral:rRNA from 1 species